rnacentral:lncRNA from 1 species
GAGAGGAAGGAGAGAGACUCGAAGGACCACAGCAACAUGAAAGAAGAAGGUGUCUCUUCCAGAGCAGCAGGGGUCUACAAGAUGCCUUGGACGGAAGUGCUUUGAUUGAAUGCUAGGUGUUUUAACUAUAGGGUCGAGUACACCAGCCACCUCCAGAACACCACUGAGUGCUCCAGAAGCUGCUAAGGAGGGUGCUACUUGACCCACUGGACUCUUCACACAGACGGCAAAAGCUUGAAGUUAAGGAGGCCAUGGUGCUUGCUGGCCUCUGCUGGGUGUCGCAGGGUUGCUGUUGAUAGGGUACGGCGAGUGGUCGUGAGCAAGCAUGGGAUGCAGAGCCACAGCCUGGCCUGAGCUGCCCUUCUCCACUGUCAGCUGACAGCAUAUCCUGCCUUUCAUGAACUCUUGUUUUGUAAGUGCUGCUACGUCUAUCAAUUUUUAAUAAAGAUAAUGCUAUCUUUG